rnacentral:misc_RNA from 1 species
UUGUAGCUCCGAUAGAGCCGGUAUCCUCGAAGUCCUUUUGGGACGGAGAGAUAAAGGUGAUAGCGGGAACAUUU